CCUACGGGAGGCAUCAGUGGGGAAUUUUCCGCAAUGGGCGAAAGCCUGACGGAGCAACGCCGCGUGAGGGAUGAAGGCCUCUGGGCUGUAAACCUCUUUUAUCAAGGAAGAAGAUCUGACGGUACUUGAUGAAUAAGCCACGGCUAAUUCCGUGCCAGCAGCCGCGGUAAUACGGGAGUGGCAAGCGUUAUCCGGAAUUAUUGGGCGUAAAGCGUCCGCAGGCGGCCUUGUAAGUCUGUCGUCAAAGCGUGGAGCUUAACUCCAUUUAAGCGAUGGAAACUGCAAGGCUAGAGUGUGGUAGGGGCAGAGGGAAUUCCCGGUGUAGCGGUGAAAUGCGUAGAUAUCGGGAAGAACACCAGUGGCGAAGGCGCUCUGCUGGGCCAUAACUGACGCUCAUGGACGAAAGCCAGGGGAGCGAAAGGGAUUAGAUACCCCUGUAGUCCUGGCCGUAAACGAUGAACACUAGGUGUCGGGGGAACCGACCCCCUCGGUGUCGUAGCCAACGCGUUAAGUGUUCCGCCUGGGGAGUACGCACGCAAGUGUGAAACUCAAAGGAAUUGACGGGGGCCCGCACAAGCGGUGGAGUAUGUGGUUUAAUUCGAUGCAACGCGAAGAACCUUUACCAGUGUUUGACAUCCUGCGAAUCCUUUGGAAAACGAGGGAGUGCCUUCGGGAGCGCAGAGACAGGUGGUGCAUGGCUGUCGUCAGCUCGUGUCGUGAGAUGUUGGGUUAAGUCCCGCAACGAGCGCUACCCACGUCGUUAGUUGCCUGCAUUUAGUUGGGCACUCUAGCGAGUCCCUCGGUGAUUAACCCGGAGGAAGGUGUGGAUUGACGUCAAGUUAUUAUGCCCCUUACAUCCUGGGGCUCACACGUACUACAAUGCUACGGACAAAGGGCAGCAUACUUGCGAGAGCUAGCAAAUCUAUAAUCCGU
rnacentral:rRNA from 1 species